ACGGCUCAGUAACACGUAGUCAACCUAACUCGUGGACGUGGAUAACCUCGGGAAACUGAGAAUAAACCACGAUAGACCAUAGUGCCUGGAAUGGCUUAUGGUCCAAACAGUUUACUGCCAUGGGAUGGGACUGCGGCCUAUCAGCUUGUUGGUGAGGUAAUGGCCCACCAAGGCGAUUACAGGUACGGGCUCUGAGAGGAGAAGCCCGGAGAUGGGUACUGAGACACGGACCCAGGCCCUAUGGGGCGCAGCAGGCGAGAAACCUUAGCAAUGUGCGAAAGCACGACUGGGUCAGUCCGAGUGAUUCCUGAUAAAGGAGUCUUUUGCUUGUCCUAAAAGCACAGGUGAAUAAGGGGUGGGCAAGUCUGGUGUCAGCCGCCGCGGUAAUACCAGCACCUCGAGUGGUCAGGACGUUUAUUGGGCCUAAAGCAUCCGUAGCCGGCUUUGCAAGUCUUCGGUUAAAUCCACCUGCUUAACAGAUGGGCUGCUGGAGAUACUACAAAGCUAGGGAGUGGGAGAGGCAGACGGUAUUCAGUGGGUAGGGGUAAAAUCCUCUGAUCCAUUGAGGACCACCAGUGGCGAAGGCGGUCUGCCAGAACACGUUCGACGGUGAGGGAUGAAAGCUGGGGGAGCAAACCGGAUUAGAUACCCGGGUAGUCCCAGCUGUAAACGAUGCAAACUCGGUGAUGCAUUGGCUUAUGGCCAAUGCAGUGCCGCAGGGAAGCCGUUAAGUUUGCCGCCUGGGAAGUACGGACGCAAGUCUGAAACUUAAAGGAAUUGGCGGGGGAG
rnacentral:rRNA from 1 species